rnacentral:rRNA from 1 species
GACGAACGCUGGCGGCAGGCUUAACACAUACAAGUCGAGCGCCCCGCAAGGGGAGCGGCAGACGGGUGAGUAACGCGUGGGAAUCUACCCAUCUCUACGGAACAACUCCGGGAAACCGGAGCUAAUACCGUAUACGUCCGUAAGGAGAAAGAUUUAUCGGAGAUGGAUGAGCCCGCGUUGGAUUAGCUAGUUGGUGGGGUAAAGGCCUACCAAGGCGACGAUCCAUAGCUGGUCUGAGAGGAUGAUCAGCCACACUGGGACUGAGACACGGCCCAGACUCCUACGGGAGGCAGCAGUGGGGAAUAUUGGACAAUGGGCGCAAGCCUGAUCCAGCCAUGCCGCGUGAGUGAUGAAGGCCCUAGGGUUGUAAAGCUCUUUCAACGGUGAAGAUAAUGACGGUAACCGUAGAAGAAGCCCCGGCUAACUUCGUGCCAGCCGCCGCGGUAAGAC